rnacentral:lncRNA from 1 species
UUGAAUUCUGGAUCAAUGUUCAUGGCGACAUCCAUGAACUGUUUAUCCAGGAAAGGAACUUGAGCUUCUAAUCCCCACGCAAAAGUUGAUUUGUUUAUUCUCAGACAAUCGAAUUUAUGAAGAGCUUUGACCUGUAAUUUAAUUUUUUUACAUGAUGGAAUCGUUAAUGUUGAUUAGGAAUUAUGAAGUUAUGGACACACAUACUUUAUGGCAAGUCUCCACAUGGAAUUCUUCCUUGUUAGGUGCGUUAUGGAAAUACAAGUAACCACCAAAGAUCUCAUUAGAACCUUCGC